rnacentral:rRNA from 1 species
GGGUUGUGAGGUUAAGCGACUAAGCGUACACGGUGGAUGCCCUGGCAGUCAGAGGCGAUGAAGGACGUGCUAAUCUGCGAUAAGCGCCGGUAAGGUGAUAUGAACCGUUAUAACCGGCGAUACCCGAAUGGGGAAACCCAGUGUGACUCGUCACACUAUCAUUAACUGAAUCCAUAGGUUAAUGAGGCGAACCGGGGGAACUGAAACAUCUAAGUACCCCGAGGAAAAGAAAUCAACCGAGAUUCCCCCAGUAGCGGCGAGCG